GGCUUAGUAUCGGACUUAGUUGAUAAAGCACUUGUCUAGCGAAUAAAGGUCGUGAGUUCAAAUCUCACCUGAGCUG
rnacentral:tRNA from 1 species